rnacentral:rRNA from 1 species
UACGUAGGGUGCAAGCGUUAAUCGGAAUUACUGGGCGUAAAGCGUGCGCAGGCGGUUUUGUAAGUCUGUCGUGAAAUCCCCGGGCUCAACCUGGGAAUUGCGAUGGAGACUGCAAGGCUGGAGUCUGGCAGAGGGGGGGUAGAAUUCCACGUGUAGCAGUGAAAUGCGUAGAGAUGUGGAGGAACACCGAUGGCGAAGGCAGCCCCCUGGGUCGAUACUGACGCUCAUGCACGAAAGCGUGGGGAGCAAACAGG